CUCCACUGGUUUCUCCUCAGAUCGUAUAAACCUUUCACCUUUUAUUAAAGAUUUCUGUAGAGGGGAACAAGUUUGAGUUUGUUGUUUCUUGUUUUGUUUUUUUUAAGGCCCUGGAAGGGGCU
ensembl:snRNA U5 U5 spliceosomal RNA